rnacentral:rRNA from 1 species
CAGCAGUGGGGAAUAUUGCACAAUGGGGGAAACCCUGAUGCAGCGACGCCGCGUGGAGGAAGAAGGUCUUCGGAUUGUAAACUCCUGUUGUUGAGGAAGAUAAUGACGGUACUCAACAAGGAAGUGACGGCUAACUACGUGCCAGCAGCCGCGGUAAAACGUAGGUCACAAGCGUUGUCCGGAAUUACUGGGUGUAAAGGGAGCGCAGGCGGGAAGACAAGUUGGAAGUGAAAUCCAUGGGCUCAACCCAUGAACUGCUUUCAAAACUGUUUUUCUUGAGUAGUGCAGAGGUAGGCGGAAUUCCCGGUGUAGCGGUGGAAUGCGUAGAUAUCGGGAGGAACACCAGUGGCGAAGGCGGCCUACUGGGCACCAACUGACGCUGAGGCUCGAAAGUGUGGGUAGCAAACAGGAUUAGAUACCCUGGUAGUCCACACGGUAAACGAUGAAUACUCGCUGUUUGCGAUAUACAGCAAGCGGCCAAGCGAAAGCGUUAAGUAUUCCACCUGGGGAGUACGCCGGCAACGGUGAAACUCAAAGGAAUUGACGGGGGCCCGCACAAGCGGAGGAACAUGUGGUUUAAUUCGAUGAUACGCGAGGAACCUUACCCGGGCUUAAAUUGCAGAUGAAUUACGGUGAAAGCCGUAAGCCGCAAGGCAUCUGUGAAGGUGCUGCAUGGUUGUCGUCAGCUCGUGCCGUGAGGUGUCGGCUUAAGUGCCAUAACGAGCGCAACCCUUGUUGUCAGUUACUAACAGGUUCCGCUGAGGACUCUGACAAGACUGCCAUCGUAAGAUGUGAGGAAGGUGGGGAUGACGUCAAAUCAGCACGGCCCUUACGUCCGGGGCUACACACGUGUUACAAUGGGGGGUACAGAAGGCAGCUACACGGCGACGUGGUGCUAAUCCCUAAAGCCUCUCUCAGUUCGGAUUGGAGUCUGCAACCCGACUCCAUGAAGCUGGAUUCGCUAGUAAUCGCGCAUCAGCCACGGCGCGGUGAAUACGUUCCCGGGCCUUGUACACACCGCCCGUCAAGCCAUGAAAGCCGGGGGUACCUGAAGUGCGUAACCGCGAGGAGCGCCCUAG